rnacentral:lncRNA from 1 species
CAACGGUUGUGGUAAUGACAUGCGCACGAUAUAUAGUUUGUUGAAUGAUAUGCAAAAUAAUGGGAUUUUAAAGCUCGUGAUGACAAUGUGACUUAUAAUAUAUAUACGUGAAUAAUGGCAAAGCUACUUUGUACAAACUAGUUGCAUUUGGUCUUUGGUGAAAAUCGAUGAUUAAUGAAAGCGAAACAAUAUACAAGACUACUUGUAAAGCCACAAGAAACACCUGCAC